UACGUAGGGGGCAAGCGUUGUCCGGAAUUAUUGGGCGUAAAGAGCGCGUAGGCGGUCCGAUAAGUCGGCUGUGAAAGUCUAGGGCUCAACCCUGGAAAGCCGGCCGAUACUGUCGGACUAGAGUCCGGAAGAGGCAAGUGGAAUUCCCGGUGUAGCGGUGAAAUGCGUAGAUAUCUGGAGGAAUACCGGUGGCGAAGGCGGCAUCCUGGACCGACAUUGACGCUGAGGAGCGAAAGCUAGGGGAGCAAACGGG
rnacentral:rRNA from 1 species